rnacentral:rRNA from 1 species
CGCUCUUUGUAAAAAAAUUAAGAUAUAAAGAGUUCUGCCUGCCCAGUGACGUAGUUAAACGGCCGCGGUAUUUUGACCGUGCAAAGGUAGCAUAAUCAUUUGCCUCUUAAAUAGAGGCUGGUAUGAAUGGCAAGACGGAGGUUAAGCUGUCUCUUUCUUAUGACUUGAAUUUAAUAUUUUUGUGAAGAAGCAGAAAUUUAUUCGUAGGACGAGAAGACCCUAUCGAGUUUUAAUUAUACAUAUUUAUAAUAUUUAUUAUUUAAUAAGACUAAUUAGGUUAAUUUUUUAAAGAAUAAUAUUAUUUUAAGGAUAAUAAUUAUAGGUAUAAAAAUUUUGAUUGGGGCAAUCAUGGAGAAAAAAUAUCCUCCAUUAAAAGAAAAAUAAAUAACAAUUUAAGUUAGAAGGAUCCGCUGUAUAGCGAGUAAAGGAAUAAGUUACCGUAGGGAUAACAGCGUAAUUUUUUUGGAGAGUUCAUAUUGAUAAAAAAGUUUGCGACCUCGAUGUUGGAUCAAGAUUUCCUGAAGAUGCAGUAGUUUUCAGGGGUUGGUCUGUUCGACCAUUAAAAUCUU